GCCCGGUUAGCUCAGUUGGUCAGAGCAUCAGACCAAUAAUCUGAGGGUCACCAGUUCAAGCCUGGUACUGGGUA